CUUUUGUCUUUGUCACUCCAUAAUGCCAUAGUAAUGAAGCAUAGUGUGCACAUUGAAUUCCAGCAUCAAAAUCACAUGAAUGGACUUGCUGCCCUUCACUUAAUAUUUCUGCAUAAGCAGGCACAAAAAUUCCCCAGUCCCUGAUUUAAAGAAAAAACGAUGAAGUAACAUUCGUUCAAUAAUUAUAACACCGUUAUACAUGUAAAAAAUAAAAUAAAAUUUAUUUAAACGGU
rnacentral:lncRNA from 1 species